rnacentral:rRNA from 1 species
CGGGUGGUAAUACCGGAUGCUCCGCUCCAUCGCAUGGUGGGGUGGGAAAUGCUUUUGCGGCAUGGGAUGGGGUCGCGUCCUAUCAGCUUGUUGGCGGGGUGAUGGCCCACCAAGGCGUUGACGGGUAGCCGGCCUGAGAGGGUGACCGGCCACAUUGGGACUGAGAUACGGCCCAGACUCCUACGGGAGGCAGCAGUGGGGAAUAUUGCACAAUGGGCGCAAGCCUGAUGCAGCGACGCCGCGUGCGGGAUGGAGGCCUUCGGGUUGUAAACCGCUUUUGUUCAAGGGCAAGGCACGGUUUCGGCCGUGUUGAGUGGAUUGUUCGAAUAAGCACCGGCUAACUACGUGCCAGCAGCCGCGGUAAUACGUAGGGUGCGAGCGUUAUCCGGAUUUAUUGGGCGUAAAGGGCUCGUAGGCGGUUCGUCGCGUCCGGUGUGAAAGUCCAUCGCCUAACGGUGGAUCUGCGCCGGGUACGGGCGGGCUGGAGUGCGGUAGGGGAGACUGGAAUUCCCGGUGUAACGGUGGAAUGUGUAGAUAUCGGGAAGAACACCA